GACGAACGCUGGCGGCGUGCUUAACACAUGCAAGUCGAACGGAAAGGCCCUGCUUUUGUGGGGUGCUCGAGUGGCGAACGGGUGAGUAACACGUGAGUAACCUGCCCUUGACUUUGGGAUAACUUCAGGAAACUGGGGCUAAUACCGGAUAGGAGCUCCCGCUGCAUGGUGGGGGUUGGAAAGUUUCGGCGGUUGGGGAUGGACUCGCGGCUUAUCAGCUUGUUGGUGGGGUAGCGGCUUACCAAGGCUUUGACGGGUAGCCGGCCUGAGAGGGUGGACGGCCACAUUGGGACUGAGAGACGGCCCAGACUCCUACGGUAGGCAGCAGUGGGGAAUAUUGCACAAUGGGCGGAAGCCUGAUGCAGCAACGCCGCGUGCGGGAUGACGGCCUUCGGGUUGUAAACCGCUUUCGCCUGUGACGAAGCGUGAGUGACGGUAAUGGGUAAAGAAGCACCGGCUAACUACGUG
rnacentral:rRNA from 1 species